ACAUUCCCACUCCAAAUUUCAAUUGAAUAUCUUAUUUUAAAAAUGGGUUAUGAUAAUUUGUAGUAAUUGAUGUUUUUUUUGUUUAAAUCUUAGCGAGAGUCACUUAUAUUAGAAAAAACAAGGCUGUGUUGUAAUUGCGUGGUGCAGUUUUGUUUUGUUUUUAUUUUCUGCGAUAUGGCUACCACUGACGUUUCUAAAGGGGGUUAAAGUGCAGGGUUAUGUUUUGUUUGGGUUUUUUAAGUCGUGUAUAAUGUAACUAUUAACAACUUUAUUUGCUGCCACCGGCUUUUUUCGGUAAAUCUUACGGGUAUAUGAGUUACAUUAUUAAUCGUCAGUAGCUACGAACGUAUUUUUACUUUUUUGUUUUUCGAAUUUCGAACGAAUUUUCUAUUAGACCGUGAAAUUAAUCAAGAAAAAACGAAUAACAUUUCCUGAAAACGACUGCGAGUAUUUUCUUUCGACAUAACUUGAAGGGCAUGCUGGAUGAGUAGGCGAGGCCUUGCAUGGCGCGCGGCGCCCGGAGCCCUCGUCCACCAUGUGGCCGCCGUGUCGCCAGCGGCGCGGGGAUCAGGCGUGAUACCGAGUCGUCAUUAACGGCGCCGUCGAGUCCACCAGGUCCCACAAGCUCCUGAAGCUAAUCCGUGGUUCAUAUGUUAGUACGUGAUAGAACACAACUAGAAAAGCACAAAUCACCCAAAAGGUAUGUUCUGAACUCAACCGGUGAGGCGCUAGAGGGCGCUUUCCAGUGAACGAUAUAUACGACCAGUUGACAGCAACCCACGUCAUUCGCGCUGUGUAUCUCCAAGGAGACGGAUGCGCACACUUAUCAAGGGAAGGCCGCCAUACAGCACAUGCACGGGCUUAGCGAGGGAAGCACGGGCGUCACUGCCGGUGGCCGCAGUUCGUAGCAGUCGUUGCGACGUGUGUUGUACGCAGUUGGAGGUGGUUGAAUAAAGCAGUUUCCUUAAAUUCAUCGAUGUCCUGUCAUUCCGUCUCGUUUUAUCUUGUUUUUCGUAAUUAGAACGUACCGCUCUCCAGAGCUUCACCGGGUGAUUUCCGAACAUAUAUUUUAUUGUGACUUCGCGGGAUAGCUGUGGACUAUUAUUUCAUACCGUAGAACCACGAAUUUGUAUGUUCUGUGAAAUCUCUUUUUGACGCUUGAAUGAUGUUAUUUUAACAAAGAUUAUCUUGAAUCACAAGAUAAUACCCUUGUAUUAUUAAUGUUCAAAGAUUUGUACGUGUUACAUAUAUAAUUGCGACCUCUUAGGUGCCUAAUUGUAUCUUAAUGCGUGAUUAACUGUUAGUUUUUACUUUUAGCCGGCCGCUGUCUCUGUGCCGUUGUUCUGCAAGUAAAAAAUAAAGUUGGCGUGCAGUGUUUUUGUAUUGCUGCGAGCAACUGUGUAACUUGAGUUUUAGUGCCUCAAAAUAAGAAAAGUUUUACCGUUUACAAUAAUAUUGCAAUAUUCUGUAAUCUUAGUUAUUUUACAUAAAAACACUUUUAAAAAGCGUUUUUUUUAGCCAGUUGAACGUUCAUUUAAAUCUACAUGAAGAGCGAGCAGUACCUAAAGAAACUGACAUACAUUCUGUUAAAAACCAGUCUGACACCGUAACAAAUUAACUAAUUUCUAAAGCUUUACUCUUUUGUGCAACAGAAAUUCAAGAAAUAUUACAACUAAGUAUUUCUUUGCUACGCGCUUCAGACACCCGAAAAAAAGCUACAGAAACGCGUGUGUGUUGUAUUUUCAUUAUAGUACUUAAGCGGUAUGCCUUGUUCAUCGCUUAAAAGCAGGUUUGUACGUACGGCUAGAUUUAGAUUUUCGCCAAUGUAUUCCCGUUUGGUAGUAUGUUACGAUGUAUUGUGCAGCUAAAUCCUUGUAAAUAUCAGAGCGUCAAAUAGAUGGUAACCGAAUUGCCAUAAUGUACCUUUAGGCCUAUUUGGGAGCAAUAAUAAGUUUCAUAUCUGAACCGUCACUUAUAAUCAGCGCAGAUUAGCAACAUUACAAAUUAUUUUCGAUUAAUGGCAGUAUUUUUUCUUCUCGAUUAUUAUUUUUUACUUUUAGAAGAAAACUACAAAUUAAAAUGUAAUGUUCUUUGUAUAAGUUUGUUCUUAGAUUAUACCAAACACUUUUACGGUACCUAAUGCAAAGGUUUAGAAAACUUGGCGAACGUGUUAUGAAUAACGAAGCAUAUUAAUUAUUAAUUCUUCAAAUUAAUAUAAAAAUUAACGUGAAUAAAAUCUUACAGAAUAUACGGAAAUGUAGGUAUAUAGAAAAUGUACUGGACCCUGAGUCAAAAUGUACAAAAGCAUAUCUGGUCUCCAUAUUUUCAAAAUACAUGAAUGUUUAGCACUGUUUGAAGCUUUAGAAGUAAAAGACGAACAUUGUAGAAGCAACAUUUCCUGUGAAAACCAGAAGUGAUGGUUCUUAUUGCAAUAUAAAUAUGAUAUUUACAUAAUAUUUACGUAUAAAAACCCACGUUUUAGAUUAAUAGUCUUGAAAAAAAGUCAAACUUGCUAGAAAACUGAUAAUUUUCGUAUUUAUAAAUAUAUAGGUAUCAAAUUGUCUCCUCUUAUAUUUUAACGCUGUGGCUAUGGUACAGGGACUGACUGCUUUCAUUUUGGUUCUAGUGCAAAUUAAACCCACAUAUAAAAAAAUUAACUCGAUUUUGUUACAAAAAAAAGUACUAGCAUCGUCACAAUGAUAAAACUUUGGUUUUUUGCAAUUUUGAAUUCCUAAUUUAUGAAAUUAUAGUAAAAAAAAUUACAAAAUAGGUGUUUAAAAAAACACUGAGAAGAUAUUUUUAGCAUUACUUUUUUUUUUAAAUUGUACAUAAGUGAUGCCUGCCAGCAAUUCUGUUUUACUGGUUGUGCUGGAGAUAAAGGCGGCUCCAGGACUUCUCGGGAGGGACUGUCGUACAAAGAAACGAUGAAGCUGAAAAACAUGACUUUAAUCAAGUCUCAGAUUUUCCUUGUAAUAUUUAUAAAUUCAUGUUCUCAAAUAAUGAACCCAAAUAGCUUCAUAAACUUGUCUUUCAUCAGAAAUUGUAACACAUGAAUUCAAGAGUUUAAGUGAACAUAAAUAUACCCACCAAAAAAAAAAAAUCCCUUUCGGCACAGUCUACAGGCGUAUGUAGAUUUCUAAGUACCUAUUUAUUCUGCAAAUAUUUAGGAAACUUCUGGAAAAUUUUAAGAACUUCAUGUUCGUAAUAUAUUUAU